CCUACGGGAGGCAGCAGUGAGGAAUAUUGGUCAAUGGACGAGAGUCUGAACCAGCCAAGUAGCGUGAAGGAUGACUGCCCUAUGGGUUGUAAACUUCUUUUAUAUGGGAAUAAAAUGUUCCACGUGUGGGAUUUUGUAUGUACCAUAUGAAUAAGGAUCGGCUAACUCCGUGCCAGCAGCCGCGGUAAUACGGAGGAUCCGAGCGUUAUCCGGAUUUAUUGGGUUUAAAGGGAGCGUAGGUGGAUUGUUAAGUCAGUUGUGAAAGUUUGCGGAUCAACCGUAAAAUUGCAGUUGAAACUGGCAGUCGUGAGUACAGUAGAGGUUGGCGGAAUUCGUGGUGUAGCGGUGAAAUGCUUAGAUAUCACGAAGAACUCCGAUUGCGAAGGCAGCUCACUGGACUGCAACUGACACUGAGGCUCGAAAGUGUGGGUAUCAAACAGGAUUAGAUACCCUUGUAGUC
rnacentral:rRNA from 1 species